AGCAGCCGCGGUAAUUCCAGCUCCAAUAGCGUAUAUUAAAGUUGUUGCAGUUAAAAAGCUCGUAGUUGAAUUUCGGGAUUGGCGCAUCGGUCGUGCCUCACGGGGUAUGAACUGGUGCAGUCAAUUUCUCACCUUCUGGAGAACCGCGAUGUCCUUAAUUGGAUGCCGCGGGGAACCAGGACCUUUACUUUGAAAAAUUAGAGUGUUUAAAGCAGGCAUUUUUGCUUGAAUACAUUAGCAUGGAAUAAUAAAAUAGGACGGCAUGGUUCUAUUUUGUUGGUUUCUAGGACCACCGUAAUGAUUAAUAGGGAUAGUUGGGGGCAUUAGUAUUCAAUUGUCAGAGGUGAAAUUCUUGGAUUUAUUGAAGACUAACUACUGCGAAAGCAUUUGCCAAGGAUGUUUUCAUUAAUCAAGAACGAAAGUUAGAGGAUCGAAGACGAUCAGAUACCGUCGUAGUCUUAACCAUAAACUAUGCCGACUAGGAAUCAGACGAUGUUAAUUUUUAAUUGUACUUCGUUUG
rnacentral:misc_RNA from 1 species